UGGAGACAGGCUGAUGACUUCAGGGACAUGAGCAUGGGAUACAGGACACCUGUCAUCACCACCACCAUCAAGUUGGGAUUCGGGAAGGAGGUUAAUCAUAUAAGAAAUCCUGUGACCAGCAUGAGCUCCUGUCAGACCACACAGGGCACUGGAGUGAACAGGGCACAGGGGGCCCUGGAGUCAUGGUAAGAAAGUGUUUCAUUGGUAAAACCUUUUCCUUUGGGGAGGUAAAUAAAUUAUUUCUUCCUUCUUGGUAGCCCUUGAAGAUAAGGAUGGUCAAACAAAAUAAUAUCAUACCUGGAGAAACUCAGAUCUUGGUAAGAUUUACUAGUUAGGAAUCCAAGGUUAAUGCCAAGAAGCAGCCACCAGUUGGGAUCAAAUGUGAGCCUAUGGAUCAAGGAAUGCCUGGACACAGUAGACAAAGGUGGUUCAACUGGAUGCCUUAGGAAACAUGCUUCCAAAAACAAAGUAGCUGAAAAGAGACCAGAAUAACAGAAUAUCAGAGCCAGAGGAACAUUUGGAGGUAAUUCAGUACCUCCUUCUUUUCAACCUACAGGGGAGAUAGUGGAACAGAAGCAGGGAUGGGCCUGCCUGCUGUGCCCACAAUUCAUUGGAGAUUGUUGUGGUGAAGAAUUUCGUUUAUGAUGAGGGAGAAAUAAACCCCCGUCAGCUUAAA